rnacentral:ncRNA from 19 species
UAAAUUUUUCGAUAAAUCAUUCGUAUAAUCUUGAUAAUAUGGUUCAAGAGUAUCUACCAAGGCACCAAAAAUCCUUGACUAUGAGUGAAUCACGGGAAAGU